rnacentral:tRNA from 2 species
CCUGAUAAUUGCGUCGUUGUGCCUGGGCUGUGAGGGCUCUCAGCCCAGCUGCGCCAGGGAAAAGAAUAGAAGAAGCA